rnacentral:rRNA from 1 species
UACGUAGGCAGCAAGCGUUGUUCGGAGUUACUGGGCGUAAAGGGUGUGUAGGCGGUUGUUUAAGUUUGGUGUGAAAUCUCCCGGCUCAACUGGGAGGGUGCGCCGAAUACUGAAUGACUAGAGUGCGGGAGAGGAAAGUGGAAUUCCUGGUGGUAGCGGUGAAAUGCGUAGAUAUCAGGAGGAACACCGGUGGUGUAGACGGCUUUCUGGACCGUAACUGACGCUGAGACACGAAAGCGUGGGUAGCAAACAGG